CCAGCGAAAAAAAAUCGCCCCACUCUGCGCCCUCGAGCGAGGUUUCGUGCCCUCGAGCGAGAAACAGUCGCCCGACUAUGUUCCCUCCUUCGCCCGCCGCCUCCCGGCCUUCGUCCCUUUCACCGCCGCCGCCCUUCGUCCCUUCGCCGCCCCCGCUCCAUCCAUUCACCGUCGCCCUGGCACUGAUCCGGCGCGUAAAUCGCACAUCACAAGCGCCGGGCUCCACUGAUCCGGCGCCGGUCCAGGAUCCGGCGCCGAUCCUGGUCAGGACCCGUCGCCGGAGACGUCCAGGACAUCCAGGAUCCGGCCACACCUUUCACCAGCCGCCGCCGAGGAGCCCUACGCCGCAGCCAAGAUCCAAGAGGAGCAGCCGCCGCCGAGAUCCGAGAGGAGCAGCCGCCGCCGAGGUUCGAGAGGAGCUGGCCACCACGACCUCCCUCCCCAGCCGGCCGCCACCACCUCCUCCCCCACCCCCUCCCCCACGUGCCUGGCAUAGGUGGGUCUCAGCCUCCCUCCUACCUCCGUCCAAGGCUAGGAACUCCCCUCCCCUCCCGAUCUCCUCCCUUCGUCCAAGGCCACGAGCUCCCCUCCCCUACCCGAUGUGACGAAGAGAGGGCCAGGCCUUGCCACUCCGGUGUUCGAUGUGGCCAGAUCCAGCCGGGGGACUCGCCGCAGAGCCUCCAUGUCGGCGGAGCAGCAGCAGCCCAACAGAAGGAUUUAGAAUUAUGACAAGGAGUCAGGGACACAAUCAGAUUUAUACCAUCCGUUGUGAUGAUACAAGGAAAGUAAACAUAUACGCAUAUUGUGUUCAACGUGAUGAUACAAGCGAAAGCUGGCCUACGCCGCCAACUGAUCUGCGGCAGCGUGAAAGGAGUGUUCAAAAGUAGCAGGAACAGUUGUUCCACUGCUGGUCGGAGGGAGAGCUUGGCAAGGGAGAUAGAGGGAGCUCUACAACCACGAUCUUGGCAUACAACCCGAUGGCAUCAUGCCCACUUAAGCUUCUUCCAUGUUCCAAUUCUUGCAUUUGUUGGUCUUUUACUGUCAGAGCUUACGAAAUCCAUUACAAAUUGAGGUGAGGCCAAGUCGUGAACUUGCUGAGACGUCUUUGCCUUGAAUUCUAAGGCUUGAAUCUAAAUGGAGGCGAGGCCAAGUCUUGAACGAAUACUAAGGUUUGCAUCUUUUAUAAAGCUUGACAGUUACUGUGUAGUUUCAGUUAACAUGAUAGUCACGCAUGGUGAAUCUCUUUUCUUGUCCAGAGAUUUCACGAAUCCAUUAUUGCCUACAGAACAACAUCCUAGGGCCCUCCCAGUUUGAUUCUCUUUAUUUUGCUAUAUCUCAACUAUUACAUACAUCAUUUAUGCUCUGAAGCUAACCAUUGUAUGCUUUGAUUGGUUGGAGCGGCAAGGUUUUCCAGAUCCUGGGAGUCUAUCCCUUCCAACAAUCUGGAGGUAGCAUAGUACAUCCGUACUCGCAGAUGCUUGUUGGCAUGGAACGGACAUUGUGGAUCCAGUGCUGCAACAUCCUUAGUUCCUCCACAUACGACCCUGCGACUAAACCGAGCCGCAUACAUCUACAACGCUUUUGUGUUGCUGACGCCGUCGCGGCCUCCCCGCAUGGGUUCCCAUCCUCUGUUCGCCGGCCCGCGCCCCCACAUCUCCUCACAUUAGUAUGGCUGCCGGCUGCAGAAUCGACGAGGAGGUCGCAGUGGAGGGGUGGUGCUGCAGUGGCUAGCAAGAUAUCAUAAGCUCUCCUUUGUUCUUUUGUGUUUGAAUCAGAUUCAGUGGUUCUUGAUUUUACAGUCAUGUAUCGACCACCAUUGGAGGGAAUAUGAUCUGAGCCGCCGUUAUGUGUUUCUACUAAUUAAAGAACAACUAGGGUCACUUGAAAGAAGAUGAGCUGGAAGAAUUCCACGAUAGACCAUUGCUUCAAGGUUGGGAGCGGCCACAACAUAAUUGACAUCAAAACCAGAUCUGGGUCCUACAUAUCCGGUCUUUCUCGUAUCCUACAAUGGUUUACAGAUGGUGUGGCUCCUUGCACUAAGAUGAUCGAUCAGAGAUCUAGAGUCCUCAAUACAGAUCGAUGACGCCUCCUCAAGAUUCACUUCUUCGUAGCCCCCAACCUUGGUAUAGUAUAAAAACCUACAAAUAAAUCAGAAGAAUAGGCAAUUAUUGGAUGCUUAUGUUUGUUGGUGUAGUAGCCCUCUUAAGUCCAGUCCUAGAGAAGUGUGUCGUAGAAGCAUAUCAGGAAGACAUGGACGUGGAUAUGCAUUAUGGUUGUAUUAUGGACGUGGAUAUGGUCGCUAUAUUAGCUAUAUCUUUUACAUA